rnacentral:rRNA from 1 species
AGUGAACGCUGGCGGUAGGCCUAACACAUGCAAGUCGAACGGCAGCACAGUAAGAGCUUGCUCUUACGGGUGGCGAGUGGCGGACGGGUGAGGUAUACAUCGGAAUCUACUUUUUCGUGGGGGAUAACGUAGGGAAACUUACGCUAAUACCGCAUACUCCCUACGGGUGAGAGCAGGGGAUCUUCGGACCUUGCGCUCUUGUAUGAGCCGAUGUCGGAUUAGCUAGUUGGCGGGGUAAAGGCCCACCAAGGCGACGAUCCGUAGCUGGUCUGAGAGGAUGAUCAGCCACACUGGAACUGAGACACGGUCCAGACUCCUACGGGAGGCAGCAGUGGGGAAUAUUGGACAAUGGGCGCAAGCCUGAUCCAGCCAUACCGCGUGGGUGAAGAAGGCCUUCGGGUUGUAAAGCCCUUUUGUUGGGAAAGAAAAGCAGCAGGUUAAUACCCCGCUGUUCUGACGUUACCCAAAGAAUAAGCACCGGCUAACUUCGUG